rnacentral:rRNA from 1 species
UACGUAGGGUGCAAGCGUUGUCCGGAAUUAUUGGGCGUAAAGAGCUCGUAGGCGGUUUGUCACGUCGGGAGUGAAAACACGGGGCUUAACCCCGUGCCUGCUUCCGAUACGGGCAGACUAGAGGUAUGCAGGGGAGAACGGAAUUCCUGGUGUAGCGGUGAAAUGCGCAGAUAUCAGGAGGAACACCGAUGGCGAAGGCAGGUCUCUGGGCCACUACUGACGCUGAGAAGCGAAAGCAUGGGGAGCGAACAGG